rnacentral:rRNA from 1 species
AACGAACGCUGGCGGCGUGCCUAACACAUGCAAGUCGAGCGAGAAAGUUCCUCCGGGAACGAGUAAAGCGGCGCACGGGUGAGUAACACGUAGGUAACCUGCCCCUUAGUCUGGAACAACUAGAGGAAACUCUAGCUAAUGCCGGAUGAGACCACGGUCCCUUCGGGGACUGCGACCAAAGAUGGCCUCUACUUGUAAGCUAUCGCUGAGGGAUGGGCCUGCGGGCCAUUAGCUUGUUGGUGAGGUAACGGCUCACCAAGGCUGUGGUGGCGAGCUGGUCUGAGAGGAUGACCAGCCACACGGGGACUGAGACACGGCCCAGACUCCUACGGGAGGCAGCAGUGGGGAAUAUUGCGCAAUGGGCGAAAGCCUGACGCAGCGACGCCGCGUGGGUGAUGAAGGCCUUCGGGUCGUAAAGCCCUGUCGCAGGGGAAGAAUAAGCAUCGGGAUAAUACCCCGGUGCCCUGACGGUACCCUGCAAGAAAGCACCGGCUAACUCCGUGCCAGCAGCCGCAGUAA